GAGAAUCACUUGAAUCUGGGAGGUAGAGGUUUCAGUGAGCCAAGAUCGCACCACUGCAUUCCAGCCUGGGUAAUAGAGUGAACUCCGCCUUGUCUCAAAAAAAAAAAAAAGUUUUUUUAAAGCUAUUCACAAAGUUGCGUAACAACCACCACAAUAACUGUUAGAACAUUUUCAUCACUCCAGAAAGAAACCCUGUACCCA
rnacentral:lncRNA from 1 species